CAACUACUCCCUCUGUCCCAAAUUUCUUGUCUUAGAUUUGUCUAGAUACGGAUGUAUCUAAUACUAAAAUGUGACUUGAUACAUCCGUAUCUAGAAAAAUCUAAGACAAGAAUUUUGGGACAGAGGGAGUACUUU
rnacentral:pre_miRNA from 1 species